UACGUAGGGGGCAAGCGUUGUCCGGAAUCAUUGGGCGUAAAGAGCGUGUAGGCGGUCCGGUCAGUCGGUUGUGAAAGUCAAGGGCUCAACCCUUGAAUGCCGGCCGAUACUGCCGGGCUAGAGUCCGGAAGAGGUGAGUGGAAUUCCUGGUGUAGCGGUGAAAUGCGCAGAGAUCGGCAGGAACACCCAGGGGGAAACCAGCUGCCUGGGCAAGCGCUGACGCUGAGGUGCGAGAGCGUGGGGAGCGAACCGG
rnacentral:rRNA from 1 species